rnacentral:rRNA from 1 species
UACGUAGGGUGCGAGCGUUGUCCGGAAUUAUUGGGCGUAAAGGGCUCGUAGGCGGUCUGUCACGUCGGGGAGUGAAAACACGGGGCUUAACCCCGUGCCUGCUUCCGAUACGGGCAGACUAGAGGUAUGCAGGGGAGAACGGAAUUCCUGAGUGAGGCGGUAAAUGCGCAGAUAUCAGGAGGAACACCAACAGCGAAGGCAGAUCUCUGGGACGUUACUGACGCUGAGACGCGAAAGCGUGGGGAGCAAACAGG